UGAAUGCCUGUAUGACGUUUCACAUAUAUGUACUACAAUUGCGCUGAGAAAAUGAAACGGUGGAGAGAAAUAGCAAACGCUGUAAAACAGCCAGACUUUACUUUUGCACAAGUGGACUCACAAACAACUACAUCAACUUCAUUUGGGAACCAUGGCUUUGGAAUUGAGGGAUAUUGAAGACCCAGUUCUUUCAUCACAUCUCAAAAGAAGCAUAAUGGUGAUCAUAUUCAAUGCCCAGGAGACUGACAAAAGUGGAUCAAUGUUGUCACCUGAACAACCUACCUUAUGCAUAUAUCAUACAUGACAUGUGCGGUCCCGAUGUGUUUUUGUUUACAAACUAUUGACUUUACUAUGUAUUACAUUUAUCAAUAAGGUGAUUAAACUUGUUAAAGGGUUUAGAUUGAA